UGGGGAAUCUUCCGCAAUGGACGAAAGUCUGACGGAGCAACGCCGCGUGAGUGAAGAAGGUUUUCGGAUCGUAAAAACUCUGUCUUUUGGGGGCGAACGUGAGUAUGGUGAACAAUCAUAGUCAGUGACGGUACCAAAGGAGGAAGCCACGGCUAACUACGUGCCAGCAGCCGCGGUAAUCGUAGGUGGCAAGCGUUGUCCGGAAUUAUUGGGCGUAAAGAGCGCGUAGGCGGGAUAGUCAGUCUGUUGUAAAAGUGCGGGGCUCAACCCCGUGAUGGCAAUGGAAACAGCUAUUCUUGAGUGCAGGAGAGGAAAGUGGAAAUUCCCAGUGUAGCGGUGAAAUGCGUAGAUAUUGGGAGGAACACCAGUGGCGAAGGCGACUUUCUGGACUGUGUCUGACGCUGAGGCGCGAAAGCCAGGGGGAGCGAACGGGAUUAGAUACCCCGGUAGUCCUGGCCGUAAAACGAUGGGUACUAGGUGUGGGAGGUAUCGACCCCUUCCGUGCCGGAGUUAACGCAAAUAAGUACCCCCGCCUGGGGAGUACGGUCGCAAGACUGAAAACUCAAAAGGAAUUGACGGGGGUCAUAGCUGUUUCCUG
rnacentral:rRNA from 1 species